rnacentral:rRNA from 1 species
UACGAAGGGUGCAAGCGUUACUCGGAAUUACUGGGCGUAAAGCGUGCGUAGGUGGUUGUUUAAGUCUGUUGUGAAAGCCCUGGGCUCAACCUGGGAACUGCAGUGGAAACUGGACGACUAGAGUGUGGUAGAGGGUAGCGGAAUUCCUGGUGUAGCAGUGAAAUGCGUAGAGGUCAGGAGGAACAUCCAUGGCGAAGGCAGCUACCUGGACCAACACUGACACUGAGGCACGAAAGCGUGGGGAGCAAACAGG